rnacentral:rRNA from 1 species
UACGUAGGGGGCAAGCGUUGUCCGGAAUUAUUGGGCGUAAAGAGCGCGUAGGCGGUCCGGUAAGUCGGCUGUGAAAGUCAAGGGCUCAACCCUUGAAAGCCGGCCGAUACUGUCGGACUAGAGUCCGGAAGAGGCGAGUGGAAUUCCUGGUGUAGCGGUGGAAUGCGCAGAUAUCAGGAGGAACACCAAUAGCGAAGGCAGCUCGCUGGGACGGUACUGACGCUAAGGCGCGAAAGCGUGGGGAGCGAACAGG